UACCAGCACCCCGAGUGGUCGGGACGAUUAUUGGGCCUAAAGCAUCCGUAGCCGGUUCUACAAGUCUUCCGUUAAAUCCACCUGCUUAACAGAUGGGCCUGCGGAGGAUACUAUAGAGCUAGGAGGCGGGAGAGGCAAGCGGUACUUAGUGGGUAGGGGUAAAAUCCGUUGAUCCAUUGAAGACCACCAGUGGCGAAGGCGGCUUGCCAGAACGCACUC
rnacentral:rRNA from 1 species